rnacentral:rRNA from 1 species
UGCGCAGGCGGCCGUGUGUGUCAGGUGUGAAAUCCCGGGGCUUAACCCCGGAACUGCGCCUGAAACUACAUGGCUAGAGUAUUGGAGAGGGUAGCGGAAUUCACGGUGUAGCAGUGAAAUGCGUAGAUAUCGUGAGGAACACCAGAGGCGAAGGCGGCUACCUGGACAAUUACUGACGCUCAGGCACGAAAGCGUGGGGAGCAAAAGGGAUUAGAUACCCCUGUAGUCCACGCCCUAAACGGUGCACACUAGGUCUUGGCGGAUUCGACCCCACCAGGACCCAAGCUAACGCGUUAAGUGUGCCGCCUGAGGACUACGGCCGCAAGGCUAAA